ensembl:lncRNA
UGAACGAUCUAAUUCAAAAAUAUGUAUAUGAAAGGCUGUGGCCGGCCGUAAAGAGCGAAAGUCCAGGAAAGACGAAUAACGAGUGAAACUCCGAUGUCCGAGUGCUUUCGAACGCACCAUGUUGACGUCACGUCCUGUACAGUCUAUGCUGCUACAGAUACGAGGCGACACGACCCCCCUGAGGGAGCUGCUCUUAGACCUCACUCAUGUGGAUGACAGCUGGACUUCGGUGUGGCCGGCAAAACGUGACAACCAAAGAACUACAGACUCUUCACAACCUGCUCAAACUCUUGGUACAGGACCUCACCACACGGGUCAAAGUUUCCUUCUCAUUUCUACUCUGAAGAUCACCUUCUCCUGCUCAAACUGCUGACAAAUGUUUCUGCUGCUCUAAAGUCUGGUCUCCAGAACUUCCUAAAAACUCUCAAAGUCUCUUCUGCUGCAGGUUGCUUUGUAGAACUGUUGCAGAAAACCUCACUAAACCACAUGGAGGGGCCUCAAGAUAGUUGUCCAAAUGAAACCAUACAAAAACCAAACUAGCACAACCCAAACGCUAAAGUCUCCUGCAGCCGACCAGAGAACCUCCGAGAACAGAGAAUCAGGACAGGAACUCUUACCUUCUGGACAACCAACGCUGGUUCUCAAACAAGAAUACAGAAUGUGUCUGACCAAAAAACUCUAAAGACUCACUACAGCCAAGAUAAAGACACAACUCAGCUGCACCAAAUCCACUAAUCACUGCACACAUUAGCACCAUGUGCUAACUGUGGCUAUAGAACCACAUUUACCAAGACAACUAUCCAGUACAAAGUCCUAAAACACACCAAGAAACACAUUAAAGACGAUUUUACUGCUGGAAGCUGCAAGCCAACGCCUAAAGAACAAACUACAGCAAUGGAGCCAAACCCGGUUCUGUGGUGAAGAGAAGCAGAGGAAAUGUUUGUCUGCAGCUAAAUAAAGCAGGAAGACACUGAGCUGCUCAGGUGUUCCUGAUAACACCAAGCUGCUCAGGUGUUCCUGAUAACACCAAGCAGCCACCUGGACAGCCAAUAGGAACACAGCUUACUGGAAGUCCAGAGGGCUGGGUUAGUGAAGGAAAUUUAGUUUAAAGUUGAGGCAGAAAGUUAACAAAGAAAGUUGAAAACCACCUUCUGAUCCCUGAAAUCUCUGAGUUUUCACACAAAGAACACCUGAACAUGUCAAACUGGUUCCAUAGUAGAACCAUCAUUGUAAAAACGUCAUAGUAUGGUGUGUUGCUCAAAAAACAUUAGGACCCGGCUGUCAGGGGA